rnacentral:rRNA from 1 species
GUAGGCUGCAACUCGCCUACAUGAAGCUGGAAUUGCUAGUAAUCACAGGUCAGCAUACUGUGGUGAAUACGUUCCCGGGCCUUGUACACACCGCCCGUCACACCAUGAGAGUUGGAAAUACCCGAAGCCUGUGAGCUAACAGUAAUGAGGCAGCAGUCGAAGGUAGAGCCAAUGAUUGGGGUGAAGUCGUAACAAGGUAUC